GACGAACGCUGGCGGCGUGCUUAACACAUGCAAGUCGAACGGUGAAGCUCCAAGCUUGCUUGGGGUGGAUCAGUGGCGAACGGGUGAGUAACACGUGAGCAACCUGCCCCAGACUCCGGAAUAAGCGCUGGAAACGGCGUCUAAUACUGGAUAUGAGAUCAGUCCGCAUGGGCAUGGUCUGGAAAGUUUUUCGGUCUGGGAUGGGCUCGCGGCCUAUCAGCUUGUUGGUGAGGUAAUGGCUCACCAAGGCGACGACGGGUAGCCGGCCUGAGAGGGCGACCGGCCGCACUGGGACUGAGGCACGGCCCAGACUCCUACGGGAGGCAGCAGUGGGGAAUAUUGCACAAUGGGCGAAAGCCUGAUGCAGCGACGCCGCGUGAGGGAUGACGGCCUUCGGGUUGUAAACCUCUUUCAGCAGGGAAGAAGCGAAAGUGACGGUACCUGCAGAAGAAGCACCGGCUAACUACGUGCCAGCAGCCGCGGUAACAC
rnacentral:rRNA from 1 species